rnacentral:rRNA from 1 species
CCUACGGGGGGCAGCAGUGGGGAAUAUUGCACAAUGGGGGAAACCCUGAUGCAGCAACGCCGCGUGAAGGAAGACGGUUUUCGGGUUGUAAACUUCUGUUCUUAGUGAAGAAUAAUGACGGUAGCUAAGGAGCAAGCCACGGCUAACUACGUGCCAGCAGCCGCGGUAAUACGUAGGUGGCAAGCGUUGUCCGGAAUUACUGGGUGGAAAGGGAGCGCAGGCGGGAAGCCAAGUCAGCUGUUAAAACUACGGGCUUAACUUGUAGACUGCAGUUGAAACUGGUUUUCUUGAGUGAAGUAGAGGUUGGCGGAAUUCCGAGUGUAGCGGUGAAAUGCGUAGAUAUUCGGAGGAACACCGGUGGCGAAGGCGGCCAACUGGGCUUUAACUGACGCUGAGGCUCGAAAGUGUGGGGAGCAAACAGGAUUAGAUACCCCAGUAGUC